rnacentral:misc_RNA from 1 species
CACGCUCUAAAACCAAAAAAAAAAAAAAAAUAAUAAUCCAAACGCUUGUCCUAUCGACGACUCGCCUCUUUUAUAUUACCCUGAGGGGGGUCAAAUCUUUGACACCCCUCUCUGCGCACAAGAGAGCUUCUUUUUUCUCUGCCGUCAGCUCUGAUUUUCUUCCCCGAGCAAACAUGAGCUCAGUUGUGCAGGGGUUCACAAAGUCUCUCGCCAUGACUGUACUAUCCGAGAUCGGCGACAAGACCUUUUUCGCCGCAGCGAUCUUGGCAAUGCGUCACCCGAGAAGACUUGUUUUGUCUGGUUGCCUAGCUGCUUUGAUUGUGAUGACUAUUCUUUCUGCUGUUGUUGGCUGGGCUGCUCCAAAUCUGCUCUCUCGCACAUGGACUCAUCACAUAACAACUGUAUUGUUUUUUGGAUUUGGGUUAUGGUCCUUGUGGGAUGGAUUUACUGACAAAGGGGAGGCUGAAGAAUUGGC